rnacentral:lncRNA from 1 species
UGUUUGGGUCCUCAUGAAAUUAAUUGGUUUGUUAGUGAUUAUAACCAUCGUUUACCUGUAUUUUACUCCAGGUAUUGGAAUGUACAUUCAAUGUGUAUUGAUGCGUUCACUGUCAAUUGGCAAGGUUUAAAUGGGUGGUAUGUUCCCCCAGUUUGCCUAUUAUUGAAAGUCCUUAUGUAUACAUGCAGCAAUGUAAGGCAUGUUUUUACUAUUAUUUUACAUUUGUGGAGAUCGGCGUAUUACUAGCCGUUUUUAUAUAUCAAAGGAGAUAGAUUAAUUGAUCAGAAGGUAUAAAUGGGUGGUAUGUUCCCCCAGUUUGCCUAUUAUUGAAAGUCCUUAUGUAUACAUGUACAAGGCAUAUGGUACUAUUAUUAUAGUACAUGGUACUAUUAUUAUAGUACAUGGUACUAUUAUUAUAGUACCUUUUGUGGUGAUCGGCGUUUUACUGGCCGUUUUAUUUUAUUGAUCAGGUGUUGGGUUUACAUUACCUACCUACUAACAAAGCUAACUUUUUACCUGGUAGAGGGAAUAAAUCGGCUUUUGGUAUAUUGAUUUACUAUUUAAGGUGUUGGCUAUUAGAAUGGAGUUUAGGGUGACAUUAAAUUAACUAAUAUUAACUUGGUGAUCGUUUUCAUGUAUUGGAGACAUUUUUAUUGCAUGUACUAUAUUGUAUUUAUUCAUUUUAUUGGUAUAUUAUGUAUUGAAUUGAUGAACUAUGUCAAAAAUUUGGAAGGAACCACAUAUCAAUUUAAAAUAAUGUUAUUAAAUAUGUUUUUUCCAGAUGUCCAAUAACGAUAUUGCUUUGUCUAGUCCUGUAUGUGAUGCAUACUAUAGUAUAAAGGGGCGCACUCGAUUAUUGGUGAAGAUUCUCCAACAGAUUCCCAAUUAGUGAAAUAUGUUUUAAGGAUGUUAAAAAGAAAUUAGGCUACCAAAUCUGGAAGGAAGAGCCGAUGAGUUAUUACAGGAUGCGUUUAAUAAGUUAUUUUGUGCACACAACGUACCAUGUGUGCGUGUCCGGAUAUUUACCAUGUUUACAGAGAUGGAAACUGGUUUAUUAUAGUGAAUUCGAAGAACGUCACAACUUUGCGUCUAGUCCUAAUUUGGAAUUAUAUAUGCCUGGAGUGGCAUUUAAUCUGAUUCUAAUUUGUAUUUAUUCAGGAAUUUGUCACAAGUGAAAGAAAAUUUUGUUUUUCGUUCAACAAAUAAGCCUUUAAGCUAUACAAGCAUUUAAGCUAUACAAGGAUGAGGGAAAUAUCUUUGAUGCAAUUUCUCCAUUUGUUCCCGAUAUAAAAGCAUAUAUAGUUUACGAACUUGUGGUGCUAUUACCGCUGCAAGGUUUGGUUUUUCAGAUAGACUUUUUACACGUCAUGACGUUGGAAGUCGAACACUUAAAAGGAUGGCUUUGUGAAAGACAAUUUAUCAGAACGUAGGAUUGUUUCUCAGAAUUUGGGAAAUGAAUAUCUUUUUUGUUUUAUUUACAUUUUGAACUAUAUAAUUUUCCAUACAUAGUAAUUAAUAGCUUCCCGUUCUUUGGGUUCAGCAUCGGCGUUGUCGUGCAACUAUCCACUUUACUAAGUCUUUGGUAUUUAUUAUAGCCUUUUAUGGGGUG